AUUGAACGCUGGCGGCAGGCCUAACACAUGCAAGUCGAGCGGAUGAAGUGAUCUUGCUCCUGGAUUCAGCGGCGGACGGGUGAGUAAUGCCUAGGAAUCUGCCUGGUAGUGGGGGAUAACGUCCGGAAACGGGCGCUAAUACCGCAUACGUCCUGAGGGAGAAAGUGGGGGAUCUUCGGACCUCACGCUAUCAGAUGAGCCUAGGUCGGAUUAGCUAGUUGGUGGGGUAAAGGCCUACCAAGGCGACGAUCCGUAACUGGUCUGAGAGGAUGAUCAGUCACACUGGAACUGCGACACGGUCCAGACUCCUACGGGAGGCAGCAGUGGGGAAUAUUGGACAAUGGGCGAAAGCCUGAUCCAGCCAUGCCGCGUGUGUGAAGAAGGUCUUCGGAUUGUAAAGCACUUUAAGUUGGGAGGAAGGGCAGUAAGUUAAUACCUUGCUGUUUUGACGUUACCAACAGAAUAAGCACCGGCUAACUUCGUG
rnacentral:rRNA from 1 species